UUUUUUUUUUGUUGUUGUUGCUAAAUUUAAUGUUUUACUAAACUUGUUAAUUAGGCACACGUUAUUUGCUCGUUAUUAAAGUUCAGGCAUAUGCUGGUUUGGCAUUAAUGGCAUUUCGUACGCUCAAUUUUUCUACUAUUAUUAUUAUCAUUAUUAAUAUAGCCUUACUAUAAUAUAAUUUUUAUUCACUUUCUGCUGAAUGACAAGCUGUUUUCGAUUAUCCAGUUGAGCCAGUGAUUCAGUAAGUUGCUUGUAACAGAAGAUGCUUAUUUGUCACGACUUACAGGUUUACAUGUGUCAUUCAUUACUGUAAAAAAAUAUACUUUUUAUUUUCAGUAGCAGAAGCAGAGACGGUUUGUGCAACAGCAACCAGGUGCGGGUCAAAACCCAUCUGUCAAGACGCUUGUCCACUUGCUGUCCGCCCCACCAGCCCAACGAUUGUGCUGGAGAACCACAAGUCACAGAAAAAGAGAAUGUCAUAAUCAACUGGAACAGCAUGAGGAUAAGUAUCCCUUUGUUAAGUUAGCUUAACUGAGUGACUUUGUGAUAUUCCACUAUCCCUUCAUUUGUAAAAGUGAAAAUGCAAUGCAGAAGUGUAAAGAAAGGCUAAUUCGACCUCUCCUCAAUCAUCAGUUUCUUUACUGUACUGUCUAAAAAUAGUCCCAUUAAAUAUCUUUAAAAUCCAGUAUACCUGUAAUUGUUUUAGUUCCAAUGUAAACAAAAAUAUCAGGAAAUCCAAAACUAGUUAGAGGACAAAGUGCAUGCUCUCUGUACCUGUACUGAUGUUCAGUUAUUGUGUUUUGUCUUUUGUAUGAGUACAGUGGUAGAGACAGAGAAGAAGUGCCCUUGAUGAGGAAACCAUGGCAGCCAUAUAUACGUCAAGAAGAGAUUUCCAAAUGUGUCCAAAGAGGCUUUGAGGAUUUGACGUGGGGAAACUGAGACUUCUUGAAAGCAAAAAAGUUAUAUUUGUUUGAAUAUUGUAAUUUUUUGAACAUUGUAAAGUAUGUUCCUUGCUGAUUAUUAUUCAAAUGUUCAUGUGUUAUAGACAACAAAUAAAAGUUUUUCAAAUGUGA